UCAGUUCAUGACAGAAAUAAGCAUGCAGAAGCAAGAUCUUGAAGAGCAAAAGUCUAAAAACAACAAUUUGAA